rnacentral:lncRNA from 1 species
AAGGACCAUGACUCACUAAGAAGGGUAGGGUGGGGUCCCUGUCAGACACAGACACAUUCCAGCUGCUGCAUAAGCUGGAAACGCAUGGUCACUUCGUUGUGGGUUUUGUUUGAAAUAAACGCUGGCAUGAAAGCCCUCAUAUGAGAAUAUCGAGUGAGUCCUUUCUCAGACUGUGCAUUGACAUUGCCACCAACAUUACUGAGACACUGAAGGAAGGAAUCAAAGCAGAAGAAUGUAAAAUCAAGAACUGCGACAGGAUAAAGCCACGAGUACAUCUUGUGACCUCAAGACCUAUGCUGACAACUCUAAAGGAGAAACAAAAGCCUUUGACCUUUUAAGGUAUUUUCAGAGUAAGAGUGUUUGCACUCUUCUCUGGAAUGAAUCACAUGACCUUCAGCACAACAGUGACAUCACCUGCAAGUCAGCUUUGGUAAUCACAGGAAAGAAUGCUUUCGAAGUGUACCUGUGUAUGUAAACACAUGCAUUUGUUUGUUGUCAAAGAAGCAGAGGAUUCCAUAUAUUCUUGCAGGUUUUGUCACAUGCCAGUUCUUGGAGAACAAUGAUAAACACAAGUGAUAUUUUACUUCAAAAUGCUGAAAUAAUGCCUGAUUUCUAUCCCUUUGGCUGCCCAGUCAUUUAUCACAGGUCAUUUACAUGGUGCUGGGUAGCUUGGUAAACUAAUUAUUAAGCUCAUUCCUGUGGUAAUGUGUUCAUUUUAGUACAGCAUGUGGAAUAAUUUUUAUGAUUUCAGUUCCUUCUCUUGGGAUCCAUAAUCCAAUUCUUAGACAAACAACACCCACCCCCAACCAGGUCUAAGUAGGCGCAGUUGUUUCUUGAUGUUGGAGUCAUUGACUGCCAGCAGUCAGGUGUGACUUCUGCCAGGCAGUUCUAGUGGAGGGCAUAACUGUAAGCUAGAAAGGGAAGGCAGUGUGUUGUUACAUCUGUGUGUGUGCUUGUGCACAUGAUUGUGUGUAUAUAUGUGUAUUUCUAUGUGUGGAUAUGUUUGCUUGUAUAAUGAAUGAAUUUAUUUAGGAAGGCAAGCAUUCUGACAGAUUUCCAAAAGUUUAUUCAAUAAUGUCUUGAUUGGGACACAUUUGGU